rnacentral:rRNA from 1 species
AACGAACGCUGGCGGCAUGCCUAACACAUGCAAGUCGAACGAGACCUUCGGGUCUAGUGGCGCACGGGUGCGUAACGCGUGGGAACCUGCCCUUAGGUUCGGAAUAACUCCCCGAAAGGGGUGCUAAUACCGGAUAAUGUCUUCGGACCAAAGAUUUAUCGCCUUUGGAUGGGCCCGCGUUGGAUUAGCUAGUUGGUAGGGUAAAAGCCUACCAAGGCGACGAUCCAUAGCUGGUCUGAGAGGAUGAUCAGCGACACUGGGACUGAGACACGGCCCAGACUCCUACGGGAGGCAGCAGUGGGGAAUAUUGGACAAUCGGCGAAAGCCUGAUCCAGCAAUGCCGCGUGAGUGAUGAAGGCCGUAGGGUUGUAAAGCUCUUUUACCCGGGAUGAUAAUGACAGUACCGGGAGAAUAAGCUCCGGCUAACUCCGUG